GCUGGGAUAGCUUGGCUGGUAGAGUACGAGACUCUUAAUCUCAAGGUUGUGGGUUCAAGCCCCACGUGGGGCA